rnacentral:rRNA from 1 species
UACGUAGGGGGCAAGCGUUGUCCGGAAUUAUUGGGCGUAAAGCGCGCGCAGGCGGUCCUUUAAGUCUGAGGUGAAAGCCCACGGCUCAACCGUGGAGGGGCAUUGGAAACUGGGGGACUUGAGUACAGAAGAGAAGAGUGGAAUUCCACGUGUAGCGGUGAAAUGCGUAGAGAUGUGGAGGAACACCAGUGGCGAAGGCGACUCUUUGGUCUGUAACUGACGCUGAGGCGCGAAAGCGUGGGGAGCAAACAGG